GAAAAGAAACCAACAGGGAUUGCCCCAGUAACGGCGAGUGAAGCGGCAACAGCUCAAAUUUGAAAUCUGGCUUCGGCCCGAGUUGUAAUUUGCAGAGGAUGUAUUUGGCGCGGUGCCUUCCGAGUUCCCUGGAACGGGACGCCAUAGAGGGUGAGAGCCCCGUCUGGUUGGACACCAAGCCUAUGUAAUACUCCUUCAACGAGUCGAGUAGUUUGGGAAUGCUGCUCUAAAUGGGAGGUAAAUCUCUUCUAAAGCUAAAUACCGGCCAGAGACCGAUAGCGCACAAGUAGAGUGAUCGAAAGAUGAAAAGCACCUUGAAAAGGGGGUUAAACAGUACGUGAAAUUGUUGAAAGGGAAGCGUUUAUGACCAGACUUGUGCCGUGUGGCUCAUCCGGGGUUCUCCCCGGUGCACUCCAUACGGUUCAGGCCAACAUCGGUUCUCGUUGGGGGAUAAGAACAGUAGGAACGUGGCCCUCUUCGGAGGGUGUUAUAGCCUAUUGUACGAUACCCUGAUGGGGACCGAGGACCGCGCUUCGGCUAGGAUGUUGGCGUAAUGGUCAUUAGCGACCCGUCUU
rnacentral:rRNA from 1 species